rnacentral:rRNA from 1 species
GAUGAACGCUAGCGGCAGGCUUAAUACAUGCAAGUCGAGGGGCAGCAUGACUGUAGCAAUACAGUUGAUGGCGACCGGCGAAACGGGUGCGGAACACGUACGCAACCUACCCAAAACUGGAGGAAUAGGCCCGGGGGAAACCCGGAUUAAUACUUCGUAACAUAAUUGAAUGGCAUCAUUUAAUUAUUAUAGCUCCGGCGGUUUUGGAUGGGGCGUGCGCCUGAUUAGGUAGUUGGAGGGUAACGGCCUACCAAGCCAACGAUCAGUAACUGGUGUGAGAGCACGACC